GGAAGGGCUGAGACGCCCAGCCCGCGUCGCCGGCAGCACAGCACACACGGGCAGGAGGCGUGCACUGGGGUGCAGGGGAGAUGCUCCUGUCCACUCUUUUCACUGAAUUCACUGGUGACUGAGCCCCGCAGAACGGCAUUCUUGGGUGACGUGCGUGGUCGGCGGAGUCUACACCUAGCAGCCUGUCUCGGGCCACAAGAGCCCCAAGGAGGUCGGAGACGCCGAAGGACCAAGUUCAGCAAAAGCCAGUACAAGGUGCUCAUCGAGGCCUUCGAGAGGGACUCGUACCCUGAUAUUAUCGCCAGAGAAGAAUUGGCCAGACGAACCCAGAUUCCAGAGCCCAGAAUCCAGGUCUGGUUUCAGAACCGGAGAGCCCGAAUCCCGAAGAUCAGCCAGAGGAGGCCAGGUGUGGAGGCGGACGCCCAACUCCCAGGGCCCGUUCAGCGCAGCAGCUGCGCCCCAGACUGCCCGUGUCAGCAAAACCUUGUGGGGGCCCCGAGCGAUGCUGGACACUUCUCUGGGGAGUCCGGGGCUGUUGCUGCUGCUCCAGCCCUUCCCUCGGGGCAUGCUGAUGUCCUGAACGAGAAUGUGGCCUUGCCUGACCUGGAGACUCCAGUCAGUGCGCUGGGCGAGCCUUCCAGAAAUUUCCAUUACUCUCCCUUGACCUUCAGCCCUGAAGCUCUGUGUUCACUUCGGGCUCCCCUACAGCCCCUUUUCCAACAGGAAGCUGGCUUCAGCGGCGCUCAGCAGGGGGACCCAGGACAGCUCCUGUCCUACAGGGACUGCACCCUACAGGGGUGGGAGCAGCCUCCUCCCUCGGAACAGCAGCCAUGGUGGGGCUGGCAGCCUUCUCCCACACUGGAGCCCGAGAUGGCGCCCCAGCAGCCGCUACCCCAGCAUUUGGGGGCCUGGGAGCAGGCACCGCCGUCCCCUCCACCCUGGGAGCAGUGGCCGCAGCCCUCACCCAUGGAGGAGCUUGCUGGCAUUUGGAGCGGUUUUCCCACCUCCUUCAGAGACAGGAUGCUGGCGAAGGGCCCCGGGGCACCCCAGCCCUCAUCCCCACAGCUGUGGGGCAGCCCCUGAAGAUGCUCCCUGGGCAAGAUGUUGAAAUGACUUAACUCUCUGGCGGAUAGAGUAAAUCAGCAAUGAUCCUCUGUACACUUAAGGCAGAAUUAGAAAAGUGCAACAAUUUGUGUCCUUACCCCAGAGAGGUGCCCCAGACUAGCACUCUGGCAGCUGGGGUCUGUCAUAAGGUGCAGAGAACCCCCAGGGAAUCCUUAUGUGGGAGAAAAAGGGAUUUUUAAACCCUGUCCGUCCUGCCUCCUAUUAAUUGGUAAACGUGGAGCACUUACAAUGUCCUGUAAACACUGGAAGGGCCUUGGGGUCGCGUGGGUCUGACAAUAAAGGAUGAGGACUCAAUCUGGCUGUGUCUGUG
ensembl:lncRNA